GUGCCAGCAGCCGCGGUAACACGUAGGGGGCGAGCGUUGUUCGGAAUUAUUGGGCGUAAAGGGCACGCAGGCGGUCAGGCAAGUCUGAUGUAAAAAUUCAGGGCUCAACCCUGUCAUGCGUUGGAAACUGUCUGACUUGAGUACAGGAGGGGAUAUUGGAAUUCCAGGUGUAGGGGUGAAAUCUGUAGAUAUCUGGAAGAACACCGAUGGCGAAGGCAAAUAUCUGGCCAUGUACUGACGCUGAGGUGCGAAGGUGCGGGGAGCAAACAGGUUUAGAUACCCUGGUAGUCCGCACAGUAAACGAUGUACAUCAGGUGGCGGCCGCAAGGUCGGUACCGAAGCAAACGCAUUAAAUGUACCGCCUGGGGAGUAUGCUCGCAAGGGUGAAACUCAAAUGAAUUGACGG
rnacentral:rRNA from 1 species